rnacentral:rRNA from 1 species
GAUCCUGGGCUCAGGAUGAACGCUGGCGGCGUGCCUAACACAUGCAAGUCGAGCGAAGCGCUUUGCUUAGAUUCUUCGGAUGAAGAGGAUUGUGACUGAGCGGCGGACGGGUGAGUAACGCGUGGGUAACCUGCCUCAUACAGGGGGAUAACAGUUAGAAAUGACUGCUAAUACCGCAUAAGACCACAGCACCGCAUGGUGCGGGGGUAAAAACUCCGGUGGUAUGAGAUGGACCCGCG